rnacentral:rRNA from 1 species
GGGUGACUGCGUACCUUUUGUAUAAUGGGUCAGCGACUUAUAUUCUGUAGCAAGGUUAACCGAAUAGGGGAGCCGUAGGGAAACCGAGUCUUAACUGGGCGAAUGAGUUGCAGGGUAUAGACCCGAAACCCGGUGAUCUAGCCAUGGGCAGGUUGAAGGUUGGGUAACACUAACUGGAGGACCGAACCGACUAAUGUUGAAAAAUUAGCGGAUGACUUGUGGCUGGGGGUGAAAGGCCAAUCAAACCGGGAGAUAGCUGGUUCUCCCCGAAAGCUAUUUAGGUAGCGCCUCGUGAACUCAUCUUCGGGGGUAGAGCACUGUUUCGGCUAGGGGGUCAUCCCGACUUACCAACCCGAUGCAAACUACGAAUACCGAAGAAUGUUAUCACGGGAGACACACGGCGGGUGCUAACGUUCGUCGUGAAGAGGGAAACAACCCAGACCGCCAGCUAAGGUCCCAAAGUCAUGGUUAAGUGGGAAACGAAGUGGGAAGGCUCAGACAGCCAGGAUGUUGGCUUAGAAGCAGCCAUCAUUUAAAGAAAGCGUAAUAGCUCACUGGUCGAGUCGGCCUGCGCGGAAGAUGUAACGGGGCUAAACCAUGCACCGAAGCUGCGGCAGCGACAUGUAAAUGUUGUUGGGUAGGGGAGCGUUCUGUAAGCCUGUGAAGGUGUGCUGCGAGGCAUGCUGGAGGUAUCAGAAGUGCGAAUGCUGACAUAAGUAACGAUAAUGCGGGUGAAAAACCCGCACGCCGGAAGACCAAGGGUUCCUGUCCAACGUUAAUCGGGGCAGGGUGAGUCGACCCCUAAGGCGAGGCAGAAAUGCGUAGUCGAUGGGAAACAGGUUAAUAUUCCUGUACUGGUGAUAAUUGCGAUGGGGGGACGGAGAAGGCUAGGCUGGCCGGGCGACGGUUGUCCCGGUUUAAGGAUGUAGGUGGGUGAAUUAGGCAAAUCCGGUUCGCUAUACACUGAGGUCUGAUGACGAGUCACUACGGUGGCGAAGUAGCUCAUGCCCCGCUUCCAGGAAAAGCCUCUAAGCUCUAGAUUAUCAUUAAUCGUACCCCAAACCGACACAGGUGGUCAGGUAGAGAAUACUCAGGCGCUUGAGAGAACUCGGGUGAAGGAACUAGGCAAAAUGGUGCCGUAACUUCGGGAGAAGGCACGCUGGCACUAGGUGAAGUGGUUUACCCAUGGAGCUGAAGCCAGUCGCAGAUACCAGCUGGCUGCAACUGUUUAUUAAAAACACAGCACUGUGCAAACACGAAAGUGGACGUAUACGGUGUGACGCCUGCCCGGUGCUGGAAGGUUAAUUGAUGGGGUUAUCCGUAAGGAGAAGCUCUUGAUCGAAGCCCCAGUAAACGGCGGCCGUAACUAUAACGGUCCUAAGGUAGCGAAAUUCCUUGUCGGGUAAGUUCCGACCUGCACGAAUGGCGUAAUGAUGGCCAGGCUGUCUCCACCCGAGACUCAGUGAAAUUGAACUCGCUGUGAAGAUGCAGUGUACCCGCGGCAAGACGGAAAGACCCCGUGAACCUUUACUAUAGCUUGACACUGAACAUUGAGCCUUGAUGUGUAGGAUAGGUGGGAGGCUUUGAAGUGUGGACGCCAGUCUGCAUGGAGCCAACCUUGAAAUACCACCCUUUAAUGUUUGAUGUUCUAACGUUGCCCCAUAAUCUGGGGUGCGGACAGUGUCUGGUGGGUAGUUUGACUGGGGCGGUCUCCUCCCAAAGCGUAACGGAGGAGCACGAAGGUUGGCUAAGCAUGGUCGGACAUCAUGCGGUUAGUGCAAAGGCAUAAGCCAGCUUGACUGCGAGAGUGACGGCUCGAGCAGGUACGAAAGUAGGUCUUAGUGAUCCGGUGGUUCUGAAUGGAAGGGCCAUCGCUCAACGGAUAAAAGGUACUCCGGGGAUAACAGGCUGAUACCGCCCAAGAGUUCAUAUCGACGGCGGUGUUUGGCACCUCGAUGUCGGCUCAUCACAUCCUGGGGCUGAAGUAGGUCCCAAGGGUAUGGCUGUUCGCCAUUUAAAGUGGUACGCGAGCUGGGUUUAGAACGUCGUGAGACAGUUCGGUCCCUAUCUGCCGUGGGCGUUGGAAGAUUGAAAGGGGCUGCUCCUAGUACGAGAGGACCGGAGUGGACGCACCGCUGGUGUUCGGGUUGUCAUGCCAAUGGCACUGCCCGGUAGCUAAGUGCGGAAGAGAUAACCGCUGAAAGCAUCUAAGCGGGAAACUUGCCUUGAGAUGAGUCUUCCCUGACUCUUUAAGGGUCCUAAAGGAACGUUUAAGACGAAGACGUUGAUAGGCUGGGUGUGUAAGCGUAGCGAUACGUUGAGCUAACCAGUACUAAUGAACCGUGAGGCUUAACCUGACAACACCGAAGGUGUUUUAG